rnacentral:tRNA from 1 species
GAGCCCCGUGGUCCGGCCUUCCCGCGCACGGGCUCUCACGUGGUCCGUGUCCCCGGUUCUGUUCCCGGGCAGUGCCUUC